rnacentral:lncRNA from 1 species
UAUAAUGAAAAUCUAUUAAAGUGAAACAGAAACGGAUAUUGGAUCGAAUACUACAUUGGUCAGAAGGUUCUUUUGAGGCGAAUUAUUCAUCUACAAAAUCAUUAGUCAUAGAGAGGAACAUGUUGUUAUCAAAAGGUGCCAGGUCCAGACUAUAAGAACCUCCAAAACAAGCUCCCGGAACUUCCAACGAGUCAAUAUAAAUGUGUGUGCCCUGGUGUUGUCCUGAUGGAACACAAUUCUUCUCAUAUUGGCCACAGAAGGCCGCUUUUGAGACAUGGAUCCUUACUACUGUCCCAUUGUUGACAGUACAACUCUGAAUUAAGAGUUUGACCAUAAAAGAACAGCUAGUAGAUUAUUCCCACCAAGCACACAGAAAACUCUUCUUGGCCGUUUAUCUUGGCUUAGCCAACGUUUGCACCUGCUCAAAGUUAUUGGACCACGACCAUUCUCACUUGAUGUUGUUGUGAAUUACUCGCUUUUUAUCACCAGUAACCAUCUGCUUCAGAGUUGGAUCGAGUCUAUUACGAUUAAGCAGGGAUUUGCAGAUGGAAAUUUAGUCCAUGAGGGGUUUUCUAGUUAACUCGUGAGGCGUCCAACCUUAUUUAUGUGGUUACAAACGAUUCUUUGUGUAAAGUGUACCUCUUGAGCAAUUAAAACUGUGGUUACAGGACGGUCAGCUUUCUACUAUUUCCAUAAUUUUAUCGAUGUUUGCAACAAUUGGUCUACCAGAGUGUGGAACAUCUUUGAUAUCAAAAUUACAGAAACCAAAAUUGCGUAGUAUUGGUGUUUAGAGUAAAUGGACAAUAAAUAUUUACAUCUUUAGCCACCAAGCUUACAUUUUUGCCUUUAUUAAAGAAAACCGUAAAUUAUAGCAUAUUUUCUCUUUGCUUGUGCCCAUUUUAGAUGCUCGAUUAAACAAUACGGAGCCAAGGAAUAAUAAAAUUGUGUAAUAAGUACUUAUAAGACGAAGUCUCAUCUUUCUAAUGACAUCUAUUUUAACCAAAUAGGGAUUAUACAAUAUUUUGUUGCACUCACUUCGACCCUUCCCCUGGAGUUUCCUACCUGUGCCUCAGGAGUAUAUUAUCGUGGAAUCUUUUUUUUAUAUCUUAUGAGUAGUUUUUGAAUGUAUUGGUCAACCAACUUGCUUCUUUGUAGCAAUUGGAAUCAUCCUCUGGACGUUUGGAUUUUGGAUACUAGAAAAAUGUGUUCAGAUUUCAAUGGACCACCCUGUAUAUAAUUGCUCUAAUGGAUUAAUGGAGACUAAUCUCGAUUUUUCGAGAUAUUCGGACAAUUAACACAUUGGAGGAUCUUGAAAGAAGAUAAAAUUUGUCAUUAUGUAUAGGAGGCUGUGAUUUUGUACCUCAUUGAGUAUUUUGGUGAAUGAAGGAGUCGCUUCGUGGAUUGAGGGAUGAAACCAGAGGAGAUCACAUCUCUUCAUUUAAGGAACUUCAACUUUUUCUUAGACGAGGUGUGUUCAAAAAGUAAGGUGACUUUAUAUUUUUAGGGACUAAUAUUUCUUUUUUCAUCAUUAUUGAUGUUGUCCCAUUCAAAGACAUCCCCCUCAGAAACAAUAGACUUGUGCCAACACUUUUUCCAAUCCUCAAUGCACUUCUGAUGAACACUUUUCGGUAUAGCCUUGACCUCUUCCAGCGAUUUACUCUUUAUAUCCUCAAUCAUUGCAAAUCUCCGUCCUUUGAUAAGUCUCUUCAUUUUUGGGAACAAGAAAAAGUCACAAGGGGCAAAUCCGGUGAAUAUGGGGGUUGGGGCGUCCAGGACGAAGUUUGUCAUUAGUAUCUUCCUGCCCAUAUUGGAAGAGUGUUUACUACUUUCAAAGAUUAUUUUUACUUAGAACAGUUUCACUGUAUGUCAUUCUCAUUAUUUACAGUAUUUUAGAGCACUUAAUUUUAUUUUAUAAACAGAAUUUAAUGUUAAUUCUUUGAUCCAUU